UGCGACGCAGCUAACGCAUUAAGCGCCCCGCCUGGGGAGUACGAUCGCAAGAUUAAAACUCAAAGGAAUUGACAGGGCCCCGCACAAGCAGCGGAGCAUGCGGCUUAAUUCGACGCAACGCGAAGAACCUUACCAAGGCUUGACAUAUACAGGAAUAUGGCAGAGAUGUCAUAGCCGCAAGGUCUGUAUACAGGUGGUGCAUGGUUGUCGUCAGCUCGUGUCGUGAGAUGUUGGGUUAAGUCCCGCAACGAGCGCAACCCUCGUUCUGUGUUGCCAGCAUUAAGUUGGGGACUCACAGGAGACUGCCGGGGUUAACUCGGAGGAAGGUGGGGAUGACGUCAAAUCAUCAUGCCCCUUAUGUCUUGGGCUGCACGCAUGCUACAAUGGCUGGUACAAACGGCUGCGAUACCGCAAGGUGGAGCGAAUCCGAUAAAGCCAGUCUCAGUUCGGAUUGGGGUCUGCAACUCGACCCCAUGAAGUCGGAGUUGCUAGUAAUCGUAGAUCAGCAACGCUACGGUGAAUACGUUCCCGGGGCUUGUACACACCGCCCGUCACAUCACGAAAGUCGGUAACACCCAAAGUCAGUGGCCCAACCGUAAGGAGGGAGCUGCCAAAGGUGGGAUCGGUGAUUGGGAUGAAGUCGUAACAAGGUAA
rnacentral:rRNA from 1 species